AUUAAACCCAAGUCCUCUGGAAGAAAAGCCAGUGGUCCUGACUUCUAAGAGCCAGCUCAAAGAGGGCACCUGCUCUAAGGAGCGUCGGUCUCGGACACCACCCAUGGCAGCUCGUCACGGUUGUGACGCUGAUGUGUAAGAAGCCACAAAGCCCCGUGAGUGCUAUGCAGUCUGGAUGAGGAACAGACGGGCCUGUGUCCAAAGCCAGGCAGCUUUGCCUCCACAGCCUUGGCAUCAGUACGUUUUCUUAUUGCUGUGACAACUUAAGGAAGGAAAGGUCUGUUUAGGCUCACACUUUGAGUUUACAAUCCAUCAUGGUGGGGUAGGCACGGAGGCAGAAGCGCAAAGCGGCUGGUCACGCUCCAUCCUCAGACAGGAGAAGAGACAGAUGGAUAAGGGGAUGCCAGGCUGCUCUCUCCUUUCUGUGUGGUCCAGGACCCACGCCUGAGGAAUGAUACUGCCCACCUCCAUUAACGCAGUUCACAAACUCCCUCACAAGCGUGCCCAUUCAUUUGUCUCCAUGGUGAUUCUAGAGCCCAUCAAACUGACAAUCGAUAUAAACCCCACAGCCCCCCCCCACCGUAGCUAACCACUGUGCUCUCUGAGUUCCAUUGCUGUAAGAAAAUACCCAAGGGUAUUUAGUCCACGGCCAUAUUGCUCUGCAGCUGUGGAGAGGGAGUUCAUCUGAGGGCGUGUGUGUGAUGGAGAAGACUGUUCAUAUCGUGGUGGCCAGGAAGCAGAGAGUAAAAAGGCCCGCAUUGACCUAACUCCUUCCACUCCACUCCACUCCUGUGCUUAUGGAGAGGCAGAAAGAAACACACUGCCCUGUUCAUUCUGAUGAGCACAGUAUGCCUUUAGGAAGUCAAAGAGGAUGCAUCGCGCGGCUCAAACAUGAAAUUUCCCCACUCCUGCUGCAGACUUCCGUUGGAACCCUUGGUCACCAGCUCAUGGCACUCUUCUGGGAGGCUGCAGAACCUUCAGGAGGUGGAGUCUCACUGGACAGAGUGGGUCACGGGGUGGGAGAUGUGGUGGGGUGCGAGUCGUAUGAUUUUACAGCCAGGGUUACUUCUCUCUGUCUUCUCUCUGCUUCCUGGCUGCCGACACAAUGCGACCAGCUGCCUGGAACUCCUGCCAUAUUCCACCACAGAUAAAAGUAGUUAAUACAAGUG